CCCGGCUCUGUCUGUCAGUAUACGGCAUCCCUCACUGCACCCAGCUCUGCCUGUCAGUAUACGGCGUCCCUCGCUGCUCCCGGCUCUGUCUGUCAGUAUACGGCAUCCCUCGCUGCUCCCGGCUCUGUCUGUCAGUAUACGGCAUCCCUCGCUGCUCCCGGCUCUGUCUGUCAGUAUACGGCAUCCCUCGCUGUUCCCGGCUCU